rnacentral:rRNA from 1 species
CGUGUAGGCGGGAAGGAAAGUCAGAUGUGAAAUCCCCAGGCUCAACCUGGGAACUGCAUUUGAAACUCCCUUUCUUGAGUACCGGAGAGGAAAGUGGAAUUCCUGGUGUAGAGGUGAAAUUCGUAGAUAUCAGGAGGAACACCAGUGGCGAAGGCGGCUUUCUGGACGGUAACUGACGCUGAGACGCGAAAGCGUGGGGAGAACA